AUACGGAGGAUGCAAGCGUUAUCCGGAUUUAUUGGGUUUAAAGGGUGCGUAGGCGGGACUGUAAGUCAGGGGUGAAAUACUGCAGCUUAACUGUAGCAUUGCCUUUGAAACAACAGCUCUUGAGUACAGUUGAGGUAGGCGGAAUGUGGUGUGUAGCGGUGAAAUGCAGAGAUAUACCACAGAACGCCGAUUGCGAAGGCAGCUUACUAAGCUGUUACUUGCGCUGAGGCACGAAAGCGUGGGGAUCAAUCAGGAUUAGAUACCCUUGUAGUCCACGCUGUAAACGAUGAUUACUGUUUGUUAGCGAUAUAUAGCUAGUGACUGAGCGGAAGCAUUAAGUAUCCACCUGGGGAGUACGUCGGCAACGAAGAAACUCUAAUGAAUUGUCGGGG
rnacentral:rRNA from 1 species